UCCUACGGGGGGCAGCAGUGGGGAAUAUUGCACAAUGGGGGAAACCCUGAUGCAGCGACGCCGCGUGGGUGAGGAAGUACCUCGGUAUGUAAAGCCCUAUCAGCAGGGAAGAAACAGGACAGUACCUGACUAAGAAGCCCCGGCUAACUACGUGCCAGCAGCCGCGGUAAUACGUAGGGGGCAAGCGUUAUCCGGAUUCACUGGGCGUAAAGGGAGCGUAGACGGCUGAGCAAGCCUGAAGUGAAAAGCAGGGGCCCAACCCCUGGACUGCUUUGGGAACUGUACGGCUGGAGUGCAGGAGAGGG
rnacentral:rRNA from 1 species